rnacentral:rRNA from 1 species
UUGACGGGACCCGCACAAGCAGCGGAGCGUGUGGUUUAAUUCGAGGCUACACGAAGAACCUUACCAGGGUUUGACAUGCAAGUGGUAGGAAUCCGAAAGGUGACCGACCCUUCGGGGAGCUUGCACAGGUGCUGCAUGGCUGUCGUCAGCUCGUGUCGUGAGAUGUUCGGUUAAGUCCGCUAACGAGCGCAACCCUCGUCGUGUGUUAUACGUGUCACACGAUACUGCCGGUAUCAAGCCGGAGGAAGGUGGGGAUGAUGUCAAGUCAGCAUGGCCUUUAUAUCCUGGGCUACACACACGCUACAAUGGCAGAUACAAUAGGUUGCGAAACCGCGAGGUGGAGCCAAUCCUCAAAGUUGGUCUCAGUUCAGAUUGCAGGCUGCAACCCGCCUGCAUGAAGAUGGAGUUGCUAGUAACCGCAGGUCAGCUAUACUGCGGUGAAUACGUUCCCGGGGCUU